CCCCCUGUUGUCGGCGAUCGCGCGAAGCUUCCGGAAGUGGGACACACGCUCACGAAAGUUCACAGGUCACGAAGACAACACGGUGCUAAUUAAAAGUUCCAAAACCGAUGUGCGCUCCGAAGUACGUGUGCGUGUCUGAUGCGUGCGAGGAAGGGGAUGAGAAGGAGGACGUGUGUGUAUGAGAGAGAAUGUUGAGGAGUGUGUCGAGCAUUGGGAACGGUACCGAGGCUGAUCGUGAGGCUCGCGUGGAGGCAUCCCGUGUGUACAUAUAUAUUUGGUAGCACAUCAGCACGAUGUUUUGCACAUUAUCCUUGGACAGAAAUGGAGGGAUAAAUGGAUCUUACACGAAGGAUUACUUUCUUCGUGCAAGGUCCACUUUUUCCGAUCAUGCAAAAUAACAAAUUUAUUCAUGCAUCUCUAUACGCGAUACGUAUUAUCGUCGGCUUCUGCUUACAUCGACAAAACAUUAUCAUGCUCGCGAGCCUUCGCAUCAGCGUCGGUCCAGCCACGUAUUAGUAGAAGCGGACACAUCUUUUGUACUGCUCGUCCUGUACAAUAGACAUAACAUUAUACAAGCAAGAACGCAGAAACAUAGCUAAGUGCCUACUCGUACAAACAAGAUCAAGAGGAACCACAGCCAUUGAUCUAAAAGCGAAUCUACCGAAAGCUGCGAAACCGUGCACGAGGAGGCCGAGUCCACGAUCUAAAUCGAAAGAAAGAAAACCGCCCCGCGUAAUCGUUCUACGCGCGAUAAUCCUCCGUUCUGUGCCUUUUAACACGUUUUAAAAGAGGGAAAAAAGCCACCGCCGGAUGCUGCAAUCUGUUUCACGUGCAAUGCGACGAUCUGAAAAGAGAAAUAAAUCAGUCUGUUUGCUACAGAGAAACAACACGAUGUGCGUAAUUUGCUGUCGCGAGUUCUCGAUACCCGGACUAAAUUCAACCACGGGGCGAGGGACUCUCGCGAUUUUCUUUCUUUCCCCCCUAAUCUUUGGUCUAAUCCUACGUAAAAUCGGCGAUUAAUCCGUCGAAAAAAGCUUUUCAGUUGACUGAAUCCAAAAAGAAGGAUAUAUUGAAAGUGUACGGAGAGAAUUUUAUAGUAAAAGUAUUACUGUGUAUAGAAUUUUGUAACAUCAAGGCAUAGAUCGACAUUCUGCAACAAUUUAUUAUCUCUUUCGUUUCAUGUGUACUAUUUAUAUCUUUUUUAGAAAUUUAUUUUUAUUAGAAUUUUAUUUUUAGGAACUGAAAUGCGCUAUUAAAGAAUUGACUAUGUCCCUAAAGAAAUUUACUUUGUUCCUUAGUAAGAUAGUUUUUUUAACAAUUUAUUUCCGCACACUGCUGGAAAAAUAUAGCAAAAUUGAAAAGAAUUUCUGUGAAAAAAGAACCGAAACAUAUUCUCCUCGUGUAUACAUAAAGAGAAUUUUUAGUAAAAAAUUAUAUGAUUUUUGUAAUCAAGCAAUAAAUCGACAUCAGGCACUAA